UGAUCGCCUGUGGUUCCGGCGAUCCGGACGAGGCGCACCGUACCCGGCCAGCGACAAGACGGUUGCGAU
rnacentral:ncRNA from 1 species